rnacentral:piRNA from 1 species
UGUGAGUUGAGCCAGUCUACAGCAGCACC